GGAUAACCUGCCCUUGGGUCCGGCAUAACCCCGGGAAACUGGGGAUAAUACCGGAUAACGCACAUAUGCUGGAAUGCUUUAUGCGUAAAAUGGGUUCGUCUGCCCAAGGAUGGGUCUGCGGCCUAUCAGGUAGUAGUGGGUGUAAUGUACCUACUAGCCGACAACGGGUACGGGUUGUGAGAGCAAGAGCCCGGAGAUGGAUUCUGAGACAUGAAUCCAGGCCCUACGGGGCGCAGCAGGCGCGAAAACUUUACAAUGCGGGAAACCGUGAUAAGGGGACACCGAGUGCCAGCAUCAUAUGCUGGCUGUCCGGGUGUGUAAAAUACACUCGUUAGCAGGGGCCGGGCAAGACCGGUGCCAGCCGCCGCGGUAACACCGGCGGCCCGAGUGGUGAUCGUGAUUAUUGGGUCUAAAGGGUCCGUAGCCGGUUUGGUCAGUCCUCCGGGAAAUCUGAUAGCUCAACUAUUAGGCUUUCGGGGGAUACUGCCAGACUUGGAACCGGGAGAGGUAAGAGGUACUACAGGGGUAGGAGUGAAAUCUUGUAAUCCCUGUGGGACCACCUGUGGCGAAGGCGUCUUACCAGAACGGGUUCGACGGUGAGGGACGAAAGCUGGGGGCACGAACCGGAUUAGAUACCCGGGUAGUCCCAGCCGUAAACGAUGCUCGCUAGGUGUCAGGCAUGGCGCGACCGUGUCUGGUGCCGCAGGGAAGCCGUGAAGCGAGCCACCUGGGAAGUACGGCCGCAAGGCUGAAACUUAA
rnacentral:rRNA from 1 species